UGGGGAAUUUUGGACAAUGGGCGAAAGCCUGAUCCAGCAAUGCCGCGUGUGUGAAGAAGGCCUUCGGGUUGUAAAGCACUUUUGUCCGGAAAGAAAUCCUUGGCUCUAAUACAGUCGGGGGAUGACGGUACCGGAAGAAUAAGCACCGGCUAACUACGUGCCAGCAGCCGCGGUAAUACGUAGGGUGCAAGCGUUAAUCGGAAUUACUGGGCGUAAAGCGUGCGCAGGCGGUUGCUAAGACCGAUGUGAAAUCCCCGGGCUAACCUGGGAACUGCAUUGGUGACUGGCAGGCUAGAGUAUGGCAGAGGGGGGUAGAAUUCCACGUGUAGCAGUGAAAUGCGUAGAGAUGUGGAGGAAUACCGAUGGCGAAGGCAGCCCCCUGGGCCAAUACUGACGCUCAUGCACGAAAGCGUGGGGAGCAAACAGGAUUAGAUACCCUGGUAGUCCACGCCCUAAACGAUGUCAACUAGUUGUUGGGGAUUCAUUUCCUUAGUAACGUAGCUAACGCGUGAAGUUGACCGCCUGGGGAGUA
rnacentral:rRNA from 1 species